UCCUACGGGUGGCAGCAGUGGGGAAUAUUGGACAAUGGGCGCAAGCCUGAUCCAGCAAUGCCGCGUGUGUGAAGAAGGCCUGCGGGUUGUAAAGCACUUUAAGCAGGGAAGAAGGUUGCGGAGCUAAUACCUUUGCAAAUUGACGUUACCUGCAGAAUAAGCACCGGCUAACUCCGUGCCAGCAGCCGCGGUAAUACGGAGGGUGCGAGCGUUAAUCGGAAUUACUGGGCGUAAAGCGCGCGUAGGCGGUUCAUUAAGUCUGCUGUGAAAGCCCUGGGCUUAACCUGGGAACUGCAGUGGAAACUGGUGAGCUAGAGUAUGGUAGAGGAUAGUGGAAUUUCCGGUGUAGCAGUGAAAUGCGUAGAGAUCGGAAGGAACACCAGUGGCGAAGGCGGCUAUCUGGACCAAUACUGACGCUGAGGUGCGAAAGCGUGGGGAGCAAACAGGAUUAGAUACCCCUGUAGUC
rnacentral:rRNA from 1 species